GUGGGGAAUUUUGGACAAUGGGCGAAAGCCUGAUCCAGCCAUGCCGCGUGCAGGAAGAAGGCCUUCGGGUUGUAAACUGCUUUAGUCUAGGAAAAAGGGAUGCUUGGCUAAUACCCAAGUGUUUUGAUGGUACUGGAAGAAUAAGCACCGGCUAACUACGUGCCAGCAGCCGCGGUAAUACGUAGGGUGCGAGCGUUAAUCGGAAUUACUGGGCGUAAAGCGUGCGCAGGCGGCUCGUUAAGACAGUUGUGAAAGCCCCGGGCUUAACCUGGGAACUGAAAUUGUGACUGGCGAGCUAGAGUGUGGCAGAGGGGGGUGGAAUUCCACGUGUAGCAGUGAAAUGCGUAGAGAUGUGGAGGAACACCGAUGGCGAAGGCAGCCCCCUGGGCUAACACUGACGCUCAUGCACGAAAGCGUGGGGAGCAAACAGGAUUAGAAACCCUGGUAGUCC
rnacentral:rRNA from 1 species